GACGAACCGUGCGAACGUUGUUCGGAAUCAUUGGGCUUAAAGGGCGCGUAGGCGGGUCGGCAGGUCAGGGGUGAAAUCCCGCGGCUCAACCGCGGAAGUGCCUUUGAAACCGCCGGUCUCGAGGGAGGCAGGGGAGCGCGGGAACUUCCGGUGGAGCGGUGAAAUGCGUAGAUAUCGGAAGGAACACCGGUGGCGAAAGCGGCGCUCUGGCCCUCUUCUGACGGCUGAGGCGCGAAAGCCAGGGGGAGCAAACGGG
rnacentral:rRNA from 1 species